GGAGCUCUGUGGGUAGAGUCUGCCUGCAAUGCAGGAGACCUGGGUUCAAUCCCUGGAUCUCCU
rnacentral:tRNA from 1 species